rnacentral:rRNA from 1 species
UACGGGGGGGGCAAGCGUUGUUCGGAAUUACUGGGCGUAAAGGGCGCGUAGGCGGCAGGCCAAGUCGGGAGUGAAAGCCCGGGGCUCAACCCCGGAAUGUCUUUCGAAACUGGCCAGCUGGAGUGCGGAAGAGGCAACUGGAAUUCCCAGUGUAGCGGUGAAAUGCGUAGAUAUUGGGAAGAACACCUGAGGCGAAGGCGGGUUGCUGGGCCGACACUGACGCUGAGGAGCGAAAGCGUGGGGAGCGAACAGG